ACGUCGGUAGUGCAGUUGGUUAGCACGUAUUCGCAGGAAGAGUGGAAGGCGGGUUCAAAUCCCGUCUGACGCA